rnacentral:rRNA from 1 species
UACCAGCACCCCGAGUGGUCGGGACGAUUAUUGGGCCUAAAGCCUCCGUAGCCGGUUCUGCAAGUCUUCCGUUAAAUCCAGCUGCUCAACAGAUGGGCUGCGGGAGAUACUACAGGGCUAGGAGGCGGGAGAGGCAAGCGGUACUUUAUGGGUAGGGGUAAAAUCCGCUGAUCCAUAGAAGACCACCAGUGGCGAAGGCGGCUUGCCAGAACGCGCUCGACGGUGAGGGAUGAAAGCUGGGGGAGCAAACCGG